UGGCAUACUACAAAGAGAAACUCCAUAUACCAAAGACAUGAGACAUGGAAUUUAUAAAGAGUAUUAUAAUGAUGGAACAUCGCUGGGUAGCUAAGUUCGGAUGUGAUAACCGCUGAAAGCAUCUAAGCGGGAAGCCAACUCCAAGAUGAAUCAUCCCUGAAGACCCCUCGAAGACUACGAGGUCGAUAGGCUGGGUGUGUAAGCGUUGUAAGGCGUUUAGCUGACCAGUACUAAUAGGUCGU
rnacentral:ncRNA from 1 species